rnacentral:lncRNA from 1 species
CUGAAAACCGUGACCCCAGGCCUGGAGCUGCCAGGCCCCUGGAGGGAAGGAGCAUGCUUGCCAGAUGAAGACUUCAGAAUGCCGGUCGUUCCAUGAGAGCACAGUCCGGAUGUUGGAGGGAGAGGUGUGUCAUUCCCGGCGGAGGGUCGUCGUGUUCCCGUGGACUCUGCGGCUCUUACCCACAGGUCUGUGGCACCGUGCUGCGGGGCUCCUUGUCUCCUGCGGCCUGUGUCUGGGGGCCGGGAAUGCACCUUCUGACACCCUCGGGGCCGCCCUGAUGGUUCCGGCUGGGCAUGGCCUAUUUCCCGGAGGGGCUCAGGAAUGGGUGAGUCCUGCCGUCUCUGCCCUGGAGUAGUUCACCACUGUUUGCACUGGACAUUUUCUCCAAAUGGGGAUGGAAUGAAACGGUCUGCAUAACCAUGCUCAGGCCACAAAUGCUAUGAUUUGUCUGUUUCUCGUUGAAUGUGUGUUGUUUAGGAAGGAGAACACAGAAAUAAAAAUCUUGUGUAUAUCAUUAGGAAUCUGUGUCUAAAUUAGAUUAAACGAUAUAUCCAUUUUUACCUUCUCAGCUCAAACGUAAUAUUCAUGGCAUCAAGGUAGCAAUACAUGAGAAGUAGAUUCAGAAGUUCUGCACAUUUUCCUGUCUUUAUAAUGCUCCACAUUUCAUUUUCUGAGGAAGCUGAAUUUAUUAAGAUAUGCUCUUAAAGUUUUUAAUAUUUGCAUGUGAAAAAUGCAAAAUACCUUAUUUUCUAUGAAAGCAGAAUCUCUUAAAUAUUACGCUUUGUUGACACCCAGUCAUCAGGAUUUGUAAGCACAUAUUUCAGGAAAUUCUUGCAGUUUUGAGACAAUGAUUUUCUCAGGUUGUAUGUGUUAUAUUGGAAUUAUAAGUAUGUCUAAAUUAAAAUAU